rnacentral:tRNA from 1 species
GUGGUUCAGUGGUAGAAUUCUCGCCUUCCACGCAGGAGACCCAGGUUCAUUUCCUGGACAACACA